rnacentral:rRNA from 1 species
UACGUAGGGUGCAAGCGUUGUCCGGAAUUAUUGGGCGUAAAGAGCUCGUAGGCGGCCUGUCGCGUCGGCUGUGAAAACCCGGGGCUCAACCCCGGGCCUGCAGUCGAUACGGGCAGGCUAGAGUCCGGCAGGGGAGACUGGAAUUCCUGGUGUAGCGGUGAAAUGCGCAGAUAUCAGGAGGAACACCGGUGGCGAAGGCGGGUCUCUGGGCCGGAACUGACGCUGAGGCGCGAAAGCUAGGGGAGCAAACAGG